rnacentral:rRNA from 1 species
AUUGAACGCUGGCGGCAGGCCUAACACAUGCAAGUCGAGCGAGCGGCGGACGGGUGAGUAAUGUAUGGGGACUGCUCGAUAGAGGGGGAUAACUACUGGAAACGGUGGCUAAUACCGCAUACUAUCGGAUAACCCAUAUGGGAUUAGCUAGUAGGUGGGGUAAAGGCUCACGUAGGCGACGAUCUCUAGCUGGUCUGAGAGGAUGAUCCGCCAAACUGGGACUCAGACACGGCCGAGACGCUUACGGUGGCAGCAGGGUGGAAUAUUGCACAAUAGGCGCACGCCGGAUGCAGCCAUGCCGCGUGUAUGAUGAAGGUCUUAGUGUUGUAAAGUACUUUCAGCGGGGAGGCGUUACCCGCAGAAGAGGCACCGGCUAACUCCGUGCCAGCAGCCGCGGUAAUAC